UACGUAGGGGGCAAGCGUUGUCCGGAAUCAUUGGGCGUAAAGAGCGUGUAGGCGGUCCGGUAAGUCGGCUGUGAAAGUCCAGGGCUCAACCCUGGGAUGCCGGUCGAUACUGCCGGACUAGAGUUCGGAAGAGGCGAGUGGAAUUCCACGUGUAGCGGUGAAAUGCGUAGAGAUGUGGAGGAACACCAAUGGCGAAGGCAGCCUUCUGGGCCAACACUGACGCUCAUGCACGAAAGCGUGGGGAGCAAACAGG
rnacentral:rRNA from 1 species